rnacentral:rRNA from 1 species
GACGGAGGGUGCUAGCGUUGUUCGGAAUUACUGGGCGUAAAGGGCGCGUAGGCGGCCUGGUCAGUCGGAUGUGAAAGCCCGGGGCUCAACCCCGGAACGGCAUCCGAGACGGCCAGGCUGGAGACCGGGAGAGGAGAGUGGAAUAGCCAGUGUAGAGGUGAAAUUCGUAGAUAUUGGGAAGAACACCGGUGGCGAAGGCGGCGCUCUGGACCGAGACUGACGCUGAGGCGCGAAAGCGUGGGGAGCAAACAGG